rnacentral:tRNA from 2 species
GUGGCCGUAGUUCAGCCGGUAGAACGCUGGGUUGUGAUCCCAGUCGUCGAGGGUUCGAGUCCCUCCGGUCACCCA